rnacentral:lncRNA from 1 species
AAUGUCAAACUGCAGGUUGACAAUAAAUAUACACGUGAUCAUCUUAUUGGUGCAUCUUUUCAACAUAUCACAUGAUAAGUGAACGAGCCCAUAUUCACCUUUUGUAGUUUUCAGAUUUUAAGGGAUUCAAUCCCAACAUUAGUUGGUCCAGCCAACUUAUCAUGAGAACAAGCAACAUUAAAAGCUCAUGAAGAAUUUUGAAUUCUUCAAUAUGUAUUUAAUACUUAAUAUGCACAUCUUUGGGAUGUCGCAGUAGUUCUUGUCAACUUAUAAACUUUUGUAUUAGUAAACUCCAAGUUUACCAUGACAUGUAUAUUUUUUCUUUAGUAAAUUUCUAAUUUAC